rnacentral:rRNA from 1 species
UACGGGGGGGGCAAGCGUUGUUCGGAAUUACUGGGCGUAAAGGGCCAGUAGGCGGCCAACUAAGUCGGAUGUGAAAUCCCCAGGCUCAACUUGGGAACUGCAUCCGAUACUGGAUGGCUUGAAUUCGGGAGAGGGAUGCAGAAUUCCAGGUGUAGCGGUGAAAUGCGUAGAUAUCUGGAGGAACACCGGUGGUGUAGACGGCUUUCUGGACCGUAACUGACGCUGAGACACGAAAGCGUGGGUAGCAAACAGG